CGGGUGAGUAACGCGUGGAAAACCUGCCGUAUACUGGGGGAUAACACUUAGAAAUAGGUGCUAAUACCGCAUAAGCGCACAGCUUCGCAUGAAGUGGUGUGAAAAACUCUGGUGGUAUACGAUGGUUCCGCGUCUGAUUAGCUUGUUGGUGGGGUAAUGGCUCACCAAGGCGACGAUCAGUAGCCGGCCUGAGAGGAUGAACGGCCACAUUGGGACUGAGACACGGCCCAAACUCCUACGGAAGGCAGCAG
rnacentral:rRNA from 1 species